CAAGCAGUCCGCUCUAUCGCUGCGGCUUCAUGUCGUGGAGGAAAGUCCGGGCAACACAGGGUACUGCACUGUCGAAAGACAGAUAUCCGUGAGGGUAUAGCACCGGGGAAGAAAAUAACCACUCCCCAUGGACAAGGAGUCCGCUCCGGACCACCGGGGAGAACGGGUGAGAAGGUGAGGUAAAAGCUCACCAGUACGGCGGGUGACCGUCGUAGCUGCCCGGCUUGCAGGGUGAAAGGUCAUGUAUACCGGCAUUUAAGGGCGACCCGCCUGCGCCGGGGGGUAGACCGCUUAGAUAAAUGAUAGGGCGCCCGAUACCAUCGGGUGACAGAACCUGGCUUACAGGACUGCUUAAGGA
rnacentral:RNase_P_RNA from 1 species